AUUGAACGCUGGCGGCAUGCCUUACACAUGCAAGUCGAACGGCAGCAUGGAGAGCUUGCUCUCUGAUGGCGAGUGGCGAACGGGUGAGUAAAGCAUCGGAACGUACCGUGUAGUGGGGGAUAACGUAGCGAAAGUUACGCUAAUACCGCAUACGCACUGAGGUGGAAAGCAGGGGAUCGUAAGACCUUGCGCUAUACGAGCGGCCGAUGUCAGAUUAGCUAGUUGGUAGGGUAAAGGCCUACCAAGGCGACGAUCUGUAGCGGGUCUGAGAGGAGGGUCGGCCACACUGGGACUGAGACACGGCCCAGACUCCUACGGGAGGCAGCAGUGGGGAAUUUUGGACAAUGGGGGCAACCCUGAUCCGGCCAUGCCGCGUGAGUGAAGAAGGCCUUCGGGUUGUAAAGCUCUUUCGGCCGGGAAGAAAUCGCACAGGCUAAUACCCUGCGUGGAUGACGGUACCGGCAUAAGAAGCACCGGCUAACUACGUGCCAGCAGCCGCAGUAA
rnacentral:rRNA from 1 species